GGGCUGUUGCUCUUUGAAAGACGAGGUCUAGUGGAAGAGGCGGGUCAGGCAAGAUGAGUACUCAGAUUCGGCGCUUGCUUGACAUCUCUCUUUGAAUCUGAAACUUGACAUGACCAUUGAUUCCGCCUCCAUUGCCGGAAAGGAUAACGAUGGAUCUUUAGCUAGCUCAUAGGCAGAGGAAAGGUAUACGUUAACAGAUAAGGAAAAGUGGAUCCGCUACCAAAUACGUUGUGGAGCCGUGUUCUCUAGGGAGGUUUGAGGGUUCUUGGGAUGGGUUCUAUGUUGCUGCCCAUUCAUUUCCUAUUAAUAAGAAGAUAUGUAAAGCCAUUCAUUCUAUUAAAGAGAACUUCUAGUGGCAGAUUUUAGAUGGUAAUUCGGUGCGAUUGUUAUAAAACCCUUGGCUCGGUGGGACUGCAUUGAAUAGAAGGCCUAUUCCUAUGAACAUGUCAGAGCUGUUGGAAGGUUUGUCUCUCUCCCACUAUCUCAUUCCUAACAGGGAUUGACAUAUUUGUUUAUUAUCUUUUUUUCUCCCUGAUGAGGUGGUGCGAGAAAUUUCAGCUGUACCAAUUCCUAGAAGCAUCUGUUCUGAUACUUUGACAUGGGGGUCUUCUGUUCACUCUGACGAUUAGGAUGAAGGAAGUAUACAGGGAGGUCUGCCAGCCAUUUAAUGAGGAAGGUGGUCUUCAUUUCUCUUGCGUAUGGAUGCUUAAGGUCAUUCCCUGCAUUCCAUUUUUUGCUGGAAAGCUUAUUGGAAUAGACUUCCGUGCAGAUAACGAACUUCUUGUCUCAAGGAAUUUGCUCCCAUUGUCUGAGUGUUUUUUUAUGUUUGUGAAGGGGUAGUGGAGGACAUAGACCAUGUUCUGGUGAAGUGCACAGUAGCUAAUCAAGUGUGGAUGGUUGGUCUCCCUGAACUCUUUGAGCUGGAGCUUUGGACUCUACGAGAUAUUGGGUGCUUGCCCUAUUGAGAGUAUCUUACAUUCUCUCUUCAUCACACAGAUAGACAAAUAGGCAAUCCGAUAGAAAGAUUAUGGCUUUCUUACUAUCAGCAAGCUCCCACAGGCGAUGGACUGCUUCUGACUUCUUCAUUCGGUUUGUAGCCAUACCGUAUAGAGUGAAAAAUGCCUUUUUUGGAAGUAGCUAGAUUCAAGCAAGCAUCCUAGCAAAACGAUCUUUUGACAAUGGGCUCUGCCUAACACUGGGACUGACUGACUUUAUACAGAGAUAGAAAAGGCAGCAAUCCAAGCUCUUUUUGAAUCGGAUAUUGGAUAGGCUAAGCUAGGUGUAGCUCGCUUUCUCUACGGUUUUGCUGAACUUGUCAAGCCCGGGGGGCCUUUAGGGAAUUUUGGAGAACGAUAGAUUCUAGGAUAACACGACACUAAGGUUCAAAGGGAUGGCAUGGGUUAAGCAUCUUACUUUGGACCUUCGAGCUAAGUUAUUUAAUAAGGGGCUUCUCCUACUAAUUAAUUGGAAAUCCUUUUUACAAAUAUCCUCCUCAGAGCGCCCUGUAACCUUACCUUUUCUGAAUGGUACACUUUAAGACGUUUGGAAUAGAAGAAGAGCAGUCGUCGAUUGAUUGAAAGUGGAUUGACGGCAUUCAUCAGUUGAUUGAAAAUGGACUUCUCUUUUCUGAUCGAGCGAGGUCCCUUUUGGGCUUAAAAGUCCUUUGAGCCGUUGAAUCCCUUUUGUCUUGAUUUAGGAGAAUAGGCGCAUUGAUUAGGUUACGUGGUUUGAGAAAUCUGCAGGAAGUUUCUUUUCUAUUUAUUAUAUAUACCAUUCAUAUUCAAGUAAGACGGAUAGGGCAUAUUUGACUAGGAAGCAAGCAAAGCAAGUCCCUCCAUACCAACUAGCAGUCUUGUUUAGGGAGUAUCCUUCUUUACUGAGUCAGGUUCCCGGGUGCCUAUGCGAUUAUUAAGGCAGGGUGCUACUGUACCCGUAGUAGAGUGGCUUGAAUCAAAUCGUUUGUCUAGAGAGGGUGUAGCGAUAACCAAAGCUGACUGUACUAGAAACUUGAGAUCCUGUACAGGCAACUGGCCUUAGAAUAGUGUAUUGAACUACAUGACAGGAAUGACCCAUAAUCAUUGGCGAAGAAGGCUUGGAAAAGGAUAAAACAUAUUGAAGAGAAGCUUUCACAAAGGCCAAUAGCCGAUAGCUGAUGUCACUAGCCUUAACUUCUUUAUCUACUUGAAAGUUGAUGAGAGUACGGCUUUCUUAAAGGAAGUGCCCGUGCCUAUGAUAUUUUUUCCUAGUAAAGUAAAUAAAAUUGGAUUCGCCUUUUUCCGUAUAUAUAAAGGCAAGGGAAGCUCUUCGUCGAGAUUCUUAUCCAUUGAAGAAAAAGACAGACUGAAACAUUAAGACUCAAACCUGCCCCUUUAUUAUUAUUAGUAAGUAAGAUAGGUUGCUUGAGCCAAUCCUUAAAUCGUGGGAGGAAAAGGCAUAAAAGUGAGCCCACCCGACUAAAGGGGAGAAAUACAGAACUUCAAAAUAAUCGAAGAGUGGUCGGAGGUUUGAUAACCCAAGGCAAAUCCACUUCACAUUAUCUUGUUCCUGGUCAAGCUCCCGUACCCGCUCCUUAGUCCCAUCCUCCUCAUCGAAUUAAAGUAACGUAAGGUUUCAUAAGAAACAAUUCAAUAAGCGUAUCAAAGAGAAUGAGGUCUAGCACUCCGAAAUACCAUCGAGAAAGAGCAAUAGAACAAGGUUAGAAUAAGAUCUCCAAAAUGGGUGGGACAACCAAAGGUAAUUCAAUGGAUAAUCGGUCUACUUAGUGCGUAGGCAGGCCCAACGGUAUCCAAUCAAUGUAGUCGGCAGAACAAAGGAAACAUGAAUGAGAGAUAAGAAAAAAAUAUAAGUACCGAGAGGAAAAUAAAGCUCGAAUCCAUAACAUUCUCCACGCACCCACCAUUCAUUAGCAGCGACCUUACCACACAUCAUUACCACCAACCAUUUCACUUGAAUCUGUAGCUUUGCUACCUUCGCAACUAGAGGCAAUGAAGAUAUUCUUCCUUUAUUUGUCUUUCUUGGCAUCAAUAACAAAAAGAACCAUAGGUGCACCAACCAAGGCAGAGAUUGGAGAUACUACAAUUGGAGUGCAGUGACCAUACCCGAGAUAGAUCUGAACCGACGGUUGCGGAGAAUAGAAUAGGUACAACGGAAAACCAUGGGAAUAACGAGAGGGUACGUAGGGAACAUGGCUGACCAAGCUCCUUUUUCUAAAGAUUGCAAAAAUUGGCCGGUGUUCUUCCCAACUGCUCCAAUAAACGUGCCUACACCCCAUUCCGUCUAGAAAAUGAUAUGAUUGACCGAUAGUACUUAUGAAACCCGGCACUGAACUAAGGGUUUGAUUUGCGACCUCCUGAACUGUUCGCAUUGCUCUCCUCAGUUCAAGGCUAUGAUGAAAGUUCAGAUUGCCUUCCUAAUGUACGGAAUACGGAAUUUAGUCGAUGCUAAACCUCUGUUCUAGCUGAGACUAAUGGCACAGAUUUCUAGUGCUAUAACAGAAACUGCCCUUAACGCGCAAAUGAAAGACCUCACAACACUCUUUACCUGCAACUGCUCCCGCUUAUGGUAGUAGAUAAACAGGUGGUGGACAUGUAUCUGUAGCCUCUGCUGCUGGUAGAUUGACUGUUUUAUAUGGACUGAAAAAAACAGAGGGUAGUGCUUGAGAAUGCUACUCUAUUCCUGGAAUUAGCCAUCCCCUUCUUUGACUAUUCGACCUGCUCCUCGAAGCAAGGAAGGGAAUGAAGAUGGCAUUGAAUGCCCUUUCCGCAAGAAGGAUAGGAGUUGGCUUACCGCAUCUACCUUCUCAUCGCGGGAUAAGGGCUGGGGCGUUAACUCAAGUACUAAAGCUGCUGGAGCGGCUGCCUUCGUUGAUUCCCCACGAAGGAAUCGGAAUAUCGCUACUUCCCCUUACUGCCCUAAGCGGGGGAGAUGGAUUAAAAACCUUGUGUGAAGGAAAGGCUGUCAAAGUCGUUGACCAUUAAUCCGGUUGAAGGACAAAUGGAUAGUGAAUCAACGGAAUCGAGUUGUUCUAAGGACUCGGAUUCGGCAGUCGAGACAUCUAUAUCUAUGGAAUUUCAAAAGAGAGAGAAGGAUCCGAAUCUGACCCGAGGACGAGCUCAAACCUUAGGGUUUGAAAAUAAGAAGUAAAUCUCUCGUUUACUUCAAUCAAAAAAGGUAGGUCAUAACACAUAUUGAAUUAGACCUUACUCAAUCACUCAUCGCUGGAAAAAGUAGAGCGAUUUCCUCGCAAAAAAAGCACGAGCGAGAUAUUCUUCCUUAACAGGGAUCUCAAUUGCGGGAAGAAGUACAAAGGGCAAAGGCAGAAGUGGAAGGGUCAAACUCCUCUAUCGGGGAAAGACAAGAAGGAUAAAAGUGUAAAAUCACUUGUUUAAAACAUCUAAAAAAUAGAAAUGGCUAUUAGAAGUUGUAUUUUUGGUGGUCAAAGGGAAGGAAUCAGAAAAGAGGGAAGCGCUCUCAAGGUAGAAUCAGUUCCAGGCAAGUAUGUCCAUUGAAAGGAAAGAGUCCCUAAACAAAACAGACAGGUUUUCAGCAAAUAAGACGGGUCCUGGUCUUCGGCAACAAAAGAAGCCGAAGCGAGAGCUCGAACAAAGAACCUUUAUAGAUCCUCAUCAUCCUCAGGUUCUGGAUACACAACGAGAAGGGAAUCUUCCUGUUCGAAUGGAAGAUUUUUGAAAGAGAGGGGAGAAAUCAAUCACAUGCGUGAGCGGAUCGAGCUAUUAUAUAAUAAGUAAUGGCUGAAAAAGCUAUUCUUGGUAGAUCCACUUGUCAAGGCGCGGAAAGCCGCGUUCCUUCUCAGCUCACGCUUUCCUGAUUGAUUUGAAAGACCCUACACACCACCAUAUGCUUGGAUUUCUUCCCACUUUCAAAGAAUUUGCUAUCAUUCUUUCGAUUCUAUCUCCUCGCUUUAGGUCUUAUGCUUCUUAUUAAAGGGGUUAUGCCACUCUGAGUCCAUCAGUGUUGAAAGAAUGGACAGAGACAUGCAAAUACAAAGUACUAAUUUGACUACCGAUAGAGAGCAGAGCUAGAGACAAGAUGCCUAGGACCUGGAGGAGAUCCAUAAGAACCAAGUUGUGGAGAAGAUAGCAUCAAACUGGAGAUAAUAAACCUAACUCUCCAUGCUUUAAUCGAGAAUGGAUACAGGGUCGUCGAGCGAAACCUUUAUUAGGGGGUAGACCUACCUUGUUUUGUUGACUUAUUGCUUUCCAGCAAAGCGUGCCGGCCCUAUCUCUAAAGCACCAAACUUCCACAUUUUAGGAGAUGCCCUAUCUUCCCUUAAAGAGCCAGCUUAUUGAAUAGAGCUGUCACUCCUUACCUUACCUAAGACCCCUUCGGGAUAUCUUUUGAAAACCUUUUCUCUGAAAAGAAAAGAUGUUUGCGAUCCCUUGCCCGCUCGAUUAAAGAAAGUGGGAUCUGGCCUUGCAUUUUUUAGAUAGGGCUCCCUCACGGCAUUCUUGCUCUUGCAUUUGAAAGUCGAAUCAGGAUUCCAUCUAGAGAAAGGUUCCGAUUGGAACUAGUGAAUGUGUAUGCCGAACGUAGGCAGGUAUACCUGACCUUUGAUAUUAAGCUAUGAUCUCUCUUCUCUCUCUUGAAGUUCCCACAAAGCGACUCUGAACCUAAGACCGGGUUGUGGGAUGUCUUUUGAUAUUCUAAACUAAGAAAAUCGCAAUUGGAUUUCUUUUUAUAUCCCUAUGAUAGGAAAUGAAAGAAAAGGCCGAGCUUAAGCCGAUCCCAUUGCGGAAAGAAAAGAGGCUCUCCCAUUCCCACCUGAUACGUCAAAAGCAAUUGACUAAUAGGGGAACCAACCAGUCGAAUUCGAUUGAUUAUGUCACUCCGCAUUACUAUAAAAGGGCAGCAUCUUUCUACUAAAAUGGGCUUUGGCACUCCUUCCGCUAUUACUCGAAAUAAUAAUAAUAGUGAAAGGGUAGUCGAAUUUGUGACUACGUCAAAGGCUCGUUUCACUUGAAUUUAAAGGCUCUAACUCCUACUUAUUUAUAUUAAUUAAAGCUUGCCCAUGGCUGCUUUCUUCCCGUUUCUUUCUUCUUUCCACUAAUCUAAUGGUUUCAUUCUCCCAUCGAGAGGUUACGAUACUAGCAAGAGUUCUAUUCUUCUCCUCUUGAUCCUACCUUGGGUUAUGUUUGACAGGGAUGGUCAGUGAACUUCUAUUGGUUUCAGAGGAGGAUAGAGAUCCAUUGGGGAAGGCUCGAAAGGUUAUUCGAUAUCAAGGUUGACCCUCGACGCGCCGCAGCCACUAUUUUUACUCCUUUUAUGCAAUUAUGAACGAAACUUUCUUGAUUCCAAUGCAACUUAUCCUUUUGGAGUUGACGUAACAAACUACGCGAGCCUCCCGAUGAAGCCAACAGAAAUGCUAUCCGAAUACUAAAAAUAAAAGGCAAUUUCAUUAUGGUGGUAUACCAGCCGCCAGUUCUGGAACUUCCAGUUCCAAUCGGAGCAUAUAGAUCCGUAAAUGGAUUUGUAUGUAUAGCCACUUCAGUCGUGCUCCUCGUUUCUCGAAUGAAAAAAAAGUAUCUUCUUUCUGGGAACAAGCUAAACCAGAAAUUAUUACGUUCGUGAUUCUUCAUCCACCGAUGCAGAAAAUCUUCCAGUUUUCCAUUCUCAUAUGAGGCAGGAAAGUUUAUGGGCAACAGGUCGGCAUGAAGUGAUUCAUCAUGUUCAAACAUGAACCUUUCGCUCGUUGGGGACGGUUUAUAAAUCAUCGAAUUCCCACAAAUGGAAUGAGAAGUGGGUCCAUGUAAAUGACCGAGACCUCACAAACAACAACGUUCCUUCCCCAUAUGGAGUUCGGGACCCAAAGGCAAUCGUUGAGUGAAGUGUAUCUUAUUCGUAUUAGUUGACCUAAGCCGCACCAUUAUUGCAGGGGUGGGGCUCGGCCUCCGAACCGUACGUGGGACGAGUUUCUGCCUCAUACAGCUCGGGCCGAAGACCGGGGAAGUUGAGGAGAGAUGGGGAGACCGAACUGCUGCCGGUCGGGACGGACAGGAAAGGGGGCGGGGUAAGCUUGUGAAGAAGCAAGCUUAUUGCCCCACCCCCCAAAAACAAACCAAACCCAGCAAGAAAAUGUAUCCGCUUUAGCAACAAAGCGCUCAUCCCUUGCUUGCUGCUUCGCGUUCUUUCUAUUCCAUCCCAGUCCAUUCCGGGAUAGGCGACUAAUAUAAUAUGUGCAGUAGUCGUCGUCUCACCAAUCGGCCCGGACACCAGACCGCUUGUGCUCGCCCAUUCUGUCUCGCCCUAAAUGGAAUGGCUCUCUUAGUUACGCUGUGCCCCGACCCGAGUCCCCACGUCCGCUUUUAUCCGCCCGCAACCUGGCCAACACAACAUUAGGGCCGUCCCCCCCCAUUCUAUGCUGACCCGGGCCGGGGCUCGCUUUUUAGGAAGCCCGUUCCCACCGCGCUCACUGCCCGGCUGGCCUGCCAGCGGUAGUGGGAAUUCUCCCGUUCCCUGGUCAAAAAAGGUUGGUUGGAUGCGGGAUCUACUCCACGAGGAGCGGUACGGACGUAGAUGAUAUCAUCACGAGCUCUCUUUGCGUACCGCUAGGGAUGCUUAACGCCACUUCGCCAACUGGCAUUACUUCCGCUUUCAUGUCUCUCAGUGUGGUUAGCACUAGGUGUUUCCGAGCAGCGAGGCUUACACCCAUUCGCAUUAAUUCAUACAAAGUUCCUUACCCUUAUGCACGAAUUUUGGAAUAAGCCAUCUUCCUAUCAAGGUUAAGGAGUCAACUGAGCAUCUCAGCGGCGGGAUUGAAUACCCGGAUCGAAUCAGAGUUCACGCCGCCCGCCCUGAACAAAUAGAAUAGGAGGCGUGGGCCACAAGUCGCACAUAAGCCAUCGGGUCGCACGACAGAAGAACACCCAACAUAAAGAUGCACACUCCUCCAUGUGAAAUAGAAAGAUUCAUCUUCACUUUUUUGUAGUAGUCGUGACCAACGGCCAUCAGCAGUCGGCUCGUUAGUAAGGUGAGAGCUUCAAGCCCGCUUUCUGGUGGCACACCCCCCAAACAAGCACCACUCGACGAGCGGGGGGCGGGGGGGGGGGGGAAGCUNNNNNNNNNNNNNNNNNNNNNNNNNNNNNNNNNNNNNNNNNNNNNNNNNNNNNNNNNNNNNNNNNNNNNNNNNNNNNNNNNNNNNNNNNNNNNNNNNNNNNNNNNNNNNNNNNNNNNGGGGGGGGGGGGGAAGCUACAUGCCCAAAACCUUCGACCCUUCUUUCUAUAUGGGGGUGCGUGGGGCAUCUCAUCUUGUCAUUUUUUUGCUCAUUCCCCUUAGGCCAAAGUGUUUGGCCUUUACUUCGGAGCGCCCGCUCACGCUUCGCUGACCUAUCGCGUGGUAAAGAGAAGAGAGUACGAAAGAAUUGUAAACAGAGCAGACCGCAAAAAAAUUCUAAAUAUGACAAGUCCCCCAUGGAUUCGAUAAUAAGGAAAUGAAGAACGGGAACAAAACGAAAUAAAGCAUUUCUAGCGGAUGAGGUUCUCUCCAUUUUGUCUGGUAAUAGAAUAGGGCGGCUUGCUUUGACCAACACUCCACUUUUUGCUCUGUCCAUGGAGCGUAUGAAUUUCCUUAAAUGUAGAUAGACCAAAAAAGGGAAUAAAGGGAUAGGAAUAGGAAUUAUAGUACCAUUGGAAGAAGAGGCACCAGUGGGAACAUCUCUACUGACGAACCAUUUCAAUAGUACAGGUGCUGCCGUGCCACGGGGCACGACCAUGGAAGUAAUGAAAAACAAGAAGUUCUGUAGUUGGACCAUCUGCUCUAUCCGUUCGAUUUGAGCUUCUCCAGAGAAGAUGAGACGAUAAAAAUGAAAGUGUUCGCAACGCAUACCGAAAAAGGGUACCUAUGUUGCCGACCAUUAAUGACUAGUUUGAAGACCAAGAGCAGGGGCACGAGCCAAGAAAGAUUUGUUACUUUCCCUAUGGUUUUCGAACAUUUUCAAUGAAACCUUCUCGUAGAAGUAUUUUCACAAAGUUUUCGGUAAUAUUAGUAGAUGCUAUUCGAACCCUUCCUUUUAUUAAGAUUAGAAUUCUUAUUCUUAUUAUUAUCUAAUUAUUCUUUUUUUUCAUGUAUAUGCGUCAGACACAAUCUACUAAUUGAUCUAUAUUCUGAUACCCUACUAUAUCAUAGUCUCUACUACUAGUAUUUUUAAUACCUCAGGAGCUCAUGAGACUCUUUUAGUGAAAUUCAUAAGUCUCAAUUCCCGAGCGAUCGCACCAAAAACUCGAGUUCCUUUUGGAUUUCCUUCUUGAUCAAUGACAACCGUCAUCAUAUCGUAUUAUCAUACCGUUGUCACGUUUGAGUUCUUUACAUGUACGUACAAUUACAGCUCGUCUUACUUCUGCCUGAUCUUUCUAGAGGCAUUUUGGGCACUGCUUCUUUGAUUACAGCAACAAUAACGUCACCAAUAUGAGCAUAUCAGUGAUUACCAGCUCCUAAGAUUCGAAUACAUAUCAAUUCGAUAGCCCCACUCCGUUGUUAUCCGCUACAAAAGGGUCUGAGUGAGAUGGAUCCUGGAAGUCUGGUUUUUGAUUGGAUAGUGAUCUCGGGCACGAGUGGUUGAUCUUCGCGGGCCGUGAAUGGCCAUGGAAAGGAGUAUUGAUGUCAAUAUGUUCGAUCGAGAAGAUUGGACGAUGAAAGACGGAUCCUUUGUGGUUUGAGUAAUAGGCUGUGGUCUCGAUAUUGGGCUAUGGGUUGAUUGCUUUAUGUAUGAGCCUCUUGUGAUUGGGCUCUCGUGGACGGAUUACCCGAUGUGUACUCAUCUUCCAAAAAAGUGGAGAGGACAGGGCUACUACUGGUCCACGCAUAAGAGCUCCUCUAUGUCUUUCCGAAAAUUACUUUGACUCGCAAAGGUGAUCCCAACCCACAAUACAAUCAGUAGUUUACUUAACUGAUAUAAAGAGUUUCCCCUGCGUGCCCCUACUAUCAAUUGAUAAUACAUAAAUGAUCCGGGGCUAGUGUUGGGUAGACGGGCCCACUAGAAUUCAAGUGCUUCUUAUCGAUUCAAUACGCCCUUAACGGAUCCCCGUGCUUUAUCUCCAUUGGGUGGAGCAAGACCCUUGUCCUAUCUUUUCUUUACACAGCAACAGAAAUGAUGGUUUCCCCUCGCUGCACUUACCAAUGAUAUCUCAGAAGAGAGAAAGACUUCUAUAACUUGCCAAUGAUAUCUAGUGGGCACUACGAACUCCAGGCAUACUGUACUUGACCACCCUACUUUGCUUUGUCCCUAUUAGGCGAAAUCAAUACUUACUUUCAAUUGGUAGAGAGGAAGAAGAGAACUGACACUAGUAAUAGGUUGAUGACUCCUCUUAACAGAACUGACACUAGUAAUAGGUUGAUGACUUCUUUGACUUAAUAGCUGGCCGACUUCUCUUCAUGGAUCACCGUUCUAUAUAGUUAGGCGCAACAUCGCGUUUAACCACCUAUCCCUAUUCCCUCAAUCGAUACCGUCCAACUAUCCUUUUAUUGGGACAGCAGCAUAAUUCUCGUUAGGGACAAUAGUUCCUAUACUUAACUAACCUCUGUGCGCAAUCACUGUUUGACACUUCAUUCUUUCAGCUUUACGUUCUUGACGACUCUGUUUGACGGAGCCUGACCUUGAACUAGCUUUUUGCAACACAAACCACUAUCUUUACUUUCCUUUAGCAAUAGUAUCUAACUAUCAAUUCAUAAGAGUCAAACGGGUGGGUCCAUCCCAUCUAUCAACAGGUCCUGAUACCGGAUCUGGGAAACAAGCAAUACUCGCCGCAAUCCCUUAAUGAAAAAAAAGACCUAUCUUCUCUUGAAAGACUGUCCUUUCCUCGCUUGUUAUUGUGAUAUCAAUGAAAGAAAGCUGGAUACUGACUUCUUCCCAAGAGCUCUAUCAGCCCUGAAUUCCUUAGCCAUACGACUCUUCCUUAGUUUCCUAAUGCUGGUGGCCCUAGCUAGUGGUGAGACGGGGCAUAUACUAUUCUCGGUCUUAUAACGAAGAGGUUGCCUAGUUUGAACCGAACACUAUACUUGAUCUCUCGUCCUAUCACAAACAAGUCUCUUCCCCCGAGUCCUAGUAGACUAGUCCAAGUAGUCCGGGACAAUAGCGUCCCAUCUCUUCGCUGACCCCUGGCACACAAUCACUAUAAGACAAAGAAAGACAAACCUCUCUUAUCCUUCUCGGCUAGAAGUUACAAGUUUCCUGUUCCAGUUUCGGCUUGAGGGAAGUGCCUGAAAUCGGUUCAAUUCUUAUCUCCGAUUUCGAACUCCGGCUGGUUUCUUAUGACCAAGAGCUAUUUUCUUGGUCAGAAGAAUGGAAGGACAACGAGAAGAUGGUUCGGUUGCUCCUGCUGGAAUAUUCCAUUUAUUUAAUACUCCAACUCGCGUAACCCCGAAUGGCAAUGUUGUUAUUGCGGUUGGUCGGAUCAAUAAGACAACAAGGGAGUCAGAAUAUUCUGAUAAUAGCAAAAAGGGCUUUGGAAUCUAUGGAAGGAGCCUUCAAUGCUUCUCCAGUGUCAACCAUUAGUCGAUAACAGAAUGAAAUGCCACAAUUAAGUUGAAAAAGAGAGUCAUUAAAAAGAGGCAUGCUUGAAAAAGAGUACAGAUAAUAUGUUAUGGAUGUGAGGAGCCUCACCCAGUACUUUUCUUACUAAACUAAAAAACUCUACUCUCCUUUCACAGCCAACCCACCCAUUGCUUUUUCGAGCUCGAUAAAAAGGAAAGUUCACGUGCCAAUCCUUACCAUUGGUAACUAUAAUUACCAAGCCUAAUCUUUCACUAAAUACCGAGUAAAGCAAGCAAGAAAGAGGGAAGGAGCAGCUGUUUUCGAGCUAGGCUCGAUCCCUUUUUCAUCCACUUCUCGCUAUUUUUAAUUCUACUUGAACUAGUUCUUCCUAAGUUUAGUGAGGUCAGUACUGCAUCCAUAACUAGAGGACUUGCUUUUCUGCUUGGCUCCCACGGGAAGUUGGAUUGGAUAAGAGGAAUUGAAGCGCAAGGAAGGCAUUCGGUAUUCAAACAACUAUUCAGAGUUCCCAACUCUGGGUAAAGGAAAUCUGUACUUGACGACUGAACCAAAUCCUUUGCCUUUAUUUAUUCUAUUAUUUUUAUAUAGAUCAGCUAAAAACAAAACAAAAUACUACUACGUUGGGACAAUGACCCACCUUUCUCUGCUCAACCUGUCAUCUUCUCUCCUCGCUCCCUGGGACAAAUAAGACUAUUCAUUAAGUGAUAAACAAGAGAAACUAGUGAUAUUAUCUAAGCUUCUGGCCAUGUCUGAUUGGCAUUCAAGUCUGCCUUCCAUUGCUUGAAAAGGCCUAGCACCGUAAGUAGAAAUUGGCUAUGUCCAAACUCAAACGUCGUAUUUUAUCUAAGCACAUGAGUUAUAAUAAGGAAAGAAGACAUAAGAAUGGGAAGUAUCCGCUAGUUAUAACAUAGUAUAAAGAUAGCUAUUUCAUGGAUCUUGGUCACAAUAAAAAGAAUCCAAUAAUGAUCUAUCAACUAAAUGAGUUUAUUAUAUAAUCCCGUAUCUUCAAGGUUGUUAAGAUGAUUUAGUAGAUGUGUCGGUAUCGUUUUCAUCUGCCGUGGGGAGUGACUGCUUUGCUAAUCUAUCCUUUUAUCCUUCUUUUCGGAGACAAGCACAUAUUACCGUAACCUAGUGAUUAAUAUAUCCCGUUGGUACUACUUCGUCGAGCAAUCAAUCCUUUUUCCAUUCUUGUUCUGAGGUUGUCAGCUUCCUCCGAUGGCACCACUUGUACUCUCUGUCGGAAUCUGUAGACAUAGUUUCUGGGCGUCUUUAAAAACUGAUCGACAUAGUUGUCACACACAAACCUGCGCAACGGCUUUGGAGUAAAAGAAUCUCCUGCCUGGUCACACACAUCAUCUCGAGCACGGAAUCUACUACUCUAACAAGAUACUCGGCUCGGGUAUAUCAUGCUUUCGUUAUGCGAGGAAAGUGAAAGGAAAGAGGGAAAGGGAGACACUGAGCAAUCCGGAAUCGAUGAAAUCACUGUUUUUCGCCUUGUAAUAUGUCCGGUUACAUUCCAAAGAUGAAUCAGAGCAGGAGAUAAGAAUUUGAAAAGUAAUGAUCAACUUUAUGGAUCCAUAGGUAGAUUCACUUGUGAAGCUAUGGGAUGGGACAAGAUUCAAAAGUACCAAAAGUAAGUUAAGUGGGACGCUGAGUUCAUUGCUGCAAUCGAGGGUCCAAAGCUUUGGGAGAAGAGGGGAUCUGUACCUUCAUCUGAAAACUAUUCGCCGGUUGUCCGCAUUCCUCUCCUCGAGCGAAAGGUGUUCCCACGCAAUCGCUAUCGCUGUUCCUACGACGUAGUCAAUACGCAUUGGAAUAAUGGCAUCCCCUCCACCAUAGUAAGAAGUAACGGGUCUACGCCCUGCUUCCUUGUUCGGUUCUGGUUACGGGAACGGUUGACUUUCGAAAUAAAAUACCCUUCUUCCCUGUUUUGCAAAUUCACCUAGAGCUAGCGAAGCGAGUCCGUUUCCUAAGGACGAGCGAUGAAGAGCUUUUUAGAAUUAAAUAUUGGUCUACGCCCUCCUUUGAUGCCCAGAGGAAGAAAAGCGAAGGCAAAGCAAUGGCAUGGGCAUGAAAGGCUACGUGAAUAAGUACUUCCCCGAAAGAAAGGGGGCAGUCUAAGGCGGGACCUAUCCACUACUUGUGAAGUAAUAGAAGAGAGGAUUUCUCAUAUCUAGCGGAAGUACCACUACAAAUGCUAGGCUCCGUGGAAAGGACAUCGGCUCCUACGCAUCCUACGCAUUAGCGAACCUACGAUAAAUGAAAUACGAAUUAUUAGCGCUAUUAGGGACGAGCUCCUGCUUCCUCCGUUUCCUAUCCGAUCAGAAAUCCUAUCCUUGCUAAAACCAAUCCAAUCCACGAAAAGCAUCGUAUUGUAACACUUGUUAAAAAACAAAAAGUGUUGUGAAUUCGAUUGAGUUCGAAAGCACAUUCCCUUGCUAGAGAUAUUCCUUUUAUUCAUCCCGGAUUGUGUGAAUGCGUUCACACCUAUCCCGAGUGGGUAUAGUUACGUGGUUAAGUAAUCCCUUCCUAUGCGAGGUUCAUUGUAUGAGAGAACAUAAGGAAAGGCUUGAUACAUCCAUGUCUAGCUCAUGUCGAUCUUCGUGUCAUUUUUCUUUCAUUAGCUUAGUAGGAUAGUCCACAUUGCUAGGAUGUGUGGGUCUAGUCAGGUUGUGACCCUCGAUCAAACCAUCCUAGCAAUGCCCUCUUCUCAAAACAGGCGUUCGAUGUACGGAUCAUCGCCGCUUGUCUUUGGGGGUGGGAUUUUGGAAUUGGAAGGUUUGACAGCGCGGCAAAUAAGUAAAUCUCUUGGACAUAGCUAAAGAGAAAUCGAGAUUGUGUGUUUGGAGUGGUGUAGAUUGUAGAUUCCAGCCGAGAAGACCAGGAAAGAUAAGGAUAAAGAAUCUUAUAUAACUCAGGAGCUAGAUCACUUCCCGAUGAACAAGUCAGAAUUGCCUCAACAAAAAUGGAUGGAAUUGGACCGAAAAAUCCAUUCAGCUUCGUUAUCGAUUAGGUAUCAGUGGGAACAUCAAGAUGAAUGAGUUAACUAAGUAUCAGAUCGACCAAAUUGAACAAAUGAUAGCUCAAGAUCAUGUUGUUCAUUGGGAAUUGAAGAGGGGAGAACGAGCAGACAUCGAACGAUUAAUUUCUAUUUCUCGUUAUCGUGGAAUUCAUCAUCAAGAUGGAUCGCCCUUACGCGGUCAACGAACUCAUACUAAUGCAAGGACUGCUCGCAAGCAAAUUCGGAAAUGAAAGAAGGCUACCGAAAGAACAAGCAACGGAUUUCGCGCUCAUCCCUUGCUAAAACGCAUACAUUUUCUUGCUCCUUGGUACUUGUCUGAUCAAUCACACUGUUCAUUAGUUCACUUGAUUUUUCGUUCGAUGUCUUGAACCGCUUACUAGUCACGUAUACGUAUAGUAGGCCCCCUUCGCCACUCCACGUCUGGCCCGUCUUGGUCUCGCUCACUUCACCCGCCUAUCGUAUCGGCUCGGCUUCGUCCGUCAAGCGACAGCUUCUGCCUCUGACGGCUUCACUAUCGCUCAUGACUGGUAGUAGUUGUCUCUAUGUAGUAGUCGGCCUUUGUUAAGCUUCGCCAGAAGCGACUAGUCGCUUCCCGAAUGCCUCUUUCAUGUACUAAUUAAUGUGUAUGGUCUAGUCUUUCCAAUGCCUCCUUCCUUGCCGCCAACGCACGCUAGAUGGAGAGUAAGCAAGCUACCUUUCUUGCAUUGCAUUCGUUAAACGGUAGCUUUUGCGCCCUUCCUGCCUGCUUCAAUUGAUGUGAAUGAUCGUGUCUUCGACAUCAAUUUCAGUCUGAUUAGAUAUGUCAUUGAAACAAAUCUGUUUUAUCUCUAUUUUCUUGUUGGAUGAUGAGGAUGAGCGAGCCGAUCCUAACAUAAUUUUGGAGGAGUCGGACGACGAAGCCUCAAAAUCAGAUAAAGAUGUCUCCGACGCGAUCGGACUUCCACUAGAUUUUUAUAGGGGUCAGGAGGGAAAACAUAUGCUGUUUUCUAUCAGUCCCAAGCGGAUACUCCCCAUCUUCCACGGUCCGCUUACCGAGGAAGAGAUGCGGGAGGACCCAGGGCCAGAGCAAGUUGGGUUGGGGUAUAGAGCCGUAAGCACGGUGAGGGUGAUAGAGGAUGUGCUCGUACGGUUCAUAGUUGGGUAUGAUAUUCUCGUGGAUUGUUGGGAACGUCCUCUAUAUUCGAAAUAUACCUUUCUAGGAGCAUUACGAUCUGCAACUCAAAUGGUCCCUUAUGAAGUCUCUAUUGGUCUUAUUCUUAUUGUGCGCCUUGUGAGCACGUUUGGAUCCGCGAAGGAAAUCGCUCGGAUCUUCCCCUAACCCAACCCGGGAACGGACCGGAGGGAACCGCAGCAUGAGGAAUGUCCGCGUCUCCUCGCAAGGCUCAUUUUGGGUUUUGGGUCAUAGGGCGGGCAGUGCAGUUCGGGGCACAAGGGUCCUGGUACUACCCAGGUGCGAAGAACCCUGGAGGCGACUGCAAUGAGAAAAAAUGUAACUCACCAGCCUAAACGACGAGCAAACACUCGAACGUGAGAGCAAGGGAUCACCCAAUGAAUGGACGAGCUCAAAGGAGGGAGGAGAUAGGGAGGCAAGAACCAUGCUUUCAGAGAAGUGGCGGUCCGAAUCCACUCUGACAAAAUAAAAUAACAGACUAAGCCGUGCCAUAAGGGGGGCAUUCUCCACACGGGACGGGGCCAAGGCCUUCAUGUAUGGGUGACAGAUCGGCCAUAGGAGCACUCCGGGAUAUACACCAGGGCAACUAAUGUCGAGCAUACAAUGAUGCCGCCCGUUUUCAUUUCGUGAAAGUCCCCGGCAGAGGAAAGGGCUGUAGGUGAUGGCGCGUUCUGCUUCUUAGGGCGUUGAAAUCGUUCCUAUGGGAUCGUGCGUGGCAGCUGGUAUAGAUGAUGAUGAAAGGCGGGCCGCUUGAACCGGGACCUAUUCUCAUAAUAGGCAGCAAGCAAAGCUAAAUAGGAAAGGGGGCGACUGAUGACUGCCUUUUUCGUCAGAAAUCAAAAAGGGUGGAAUGUGGAGCCAAUAUGGCUAGCUACAAGUAUAGCCAAAGAAAGAUGAGACGAGACGGACUAUCAGAGGACGCAGCGGGACUACCAGGGGAAAGCCCACCCCCUCUAGCUAACAUAGAUAUCUAUUCUCGGUGCGCAUAUUCGAGAUUUAGAACCUCUUUCCGACCAGGCUAGGCCGAAUCGGGCCACCACUUGGGAUGGGAAUGGCUCAGCCCACAUGCAUCAUUUGAUGAAAGCACUCCAGUCCAGUCGCCUCCGAUCAGUGGCUUGUCAACCACCGGACCGUAGCUCCUCACCAAAUGCCCCUGCGUUGGGGCAAAACAGCACAUGACCAGUUCGCUCAAGGACCACACCCUCUCGAGAGCAGGAUGCCGGCCGAGAUGGAGCGCUAACCUAGACUUUCCUUGGGCUUGCCUUGCCCCAACAUCUAAAUAAAGGGCGGGCGCCGAAAAGGAAGCAGUGACGCCUUUUCGACGAAAGCUUAGCUUGGUAGGCGCAGCUUACUCACCCUACUCCCUUAGACAAUGCAAUGCUCUGAACACGAAAGUUUGCAGUUCCGCCCUCUUCUCCCAUGCAGAGUCGCAGGCAGCGCCUCGGAUAAAAGCACGGACGAGCCACAUGCAGGGAAACUUGCACGUGUGGUUCUGGCCGGGGACCCCGGUAUACAGUACUAAUAUGUGUAGGUCCCUGUAAUUCGAGUGAGAUUGUCAUGGCGCAAAAGAAGAUAUGGUCCGGUAUUCUCUUGUUCCCCGUAUUGGUUAUGUUUCUUAUUCCUCGUCUAGCAGAAACUGAUCGAGCUCCCUCUGUUCUCCCAGAAGCGGAAGCUGAAUUAGUUGCAGGCUAUAAUGUAGAAUAUGCGCGGGAUGCAAUGCUUAAUAGUUCACUGUUGGCGGAAGCCAAUGUCUCGGGGACUCAUUCUGACUUAAACAAGGGGUGGGUCUUUACCAACUUCCAAAUCCAAGAUUUAGGGAAAAAAAAGAGGGGCAGGGCACUCUUCAUUCUUCAUUCGAAACUCAUGAAUGUCGGGUCGGAGGUUUUUGCCUUGUUAUCAAAAAGGGGAGUUGGGUAAAGCAAACUCCCUCCUUGGACGAGCACGGGGCUUAGUCAAGUAGAACCGGGUUGCGCUGCUUGAUGCUCCGAUUGAAAACAAAUCAGUGGGGCCAUGCCGGUACGACAAAAUAUGCGUUAGAAAUGUCAAUCCCUCCCCCCUUUUUGAUUUUUUUAAUGAAAAACCGGGCCGAACUUCUGAAAAACAGCCCACCCGCUUCCAUAGAAAAAUAUCGCGGCAACAUAGACCUAAGUGGAUUUAUUGGAUCCUAGGGAACCAUCACAAGUACGGCCAGCCUAUAGAACGAGAAUGCCGUGUCGUCCAGCGGAGUUUAGAAGAAGGUGACUCGGAGCCUAAGGAAGGUGACUCGCGCAGACAGCUGACUCCUUUUCAAUAGAAAGGAAUAGCCAAACCUACCCAACUGGCUGGUCAAUCUCAGUGAUCUUAUCGGCUGGCAAAGCGGAGACGACGACCACGGUCCCGACCUUACCAGCACCGUAGGUUUACUAAUCAAUGAAGCCCCUCAACCUACUAUCUUUUCUUACAAACUAAACCAAGCCUAACCAAACCCCAUGCUCACGACAUGUUCUUGAUAUUGUUUGAGUAGGAGGGACUCAGAGACUACCAUGGAAUGCUUCCAUAGUCACCCCGGUGACCUUCGUCACCAAAGCGUCACGACAGUUUCCAAGACCCCUCAUAUAAUCUCCAGUGGGGAUCAGUCGGAGCACGUAGGAAUGCCAACCACUACAUAAGCAACGUCUGGCUGAGGCGAGCAGCAAGCGGGGGAGAGUAUUUUGAAGUACAAGAACGUUGGGGUGGGACGCUAGUACUUAAACUAUGGUUGCAUCUUAGCGCUAAUCUUGCGUUUUUCAGCAGUUAGUUGUAGCGCGCCUUCCCUCCUUCUCUCAUUUCGGAAAGAUUUGGCAGUAUUUUCUUAUGAUGACCUGGUCGAGAGAGUAUGAAACAUCGGUGUAAAAGAUUGAGUGGGAUGGUUAUAGUAAGGGGCGAACCAAGUGCUUGCACGAAGAAGCGAAUCAAUCAGAAUGGAGACAAGGAAAGGAGGAGAGGCGAAACUCAACAAAAAGGGAAAAGGGAACUAGACUGACUAUCAUGAGCAAAGCGAGGGAAUUCCUUCUGAUUGGAUCCCUUAGGAGAGAGACAGAAGGUAUUAUGAAAUAGAAUCAGAUCUUUGACGAUCCAGUAUUAGCUACCAAGUGUAUGGACUCAGACUUUGAUGACUCCCUAGUGGCCAGGGAAGCGUUAGCUUCACCCUUUGAACGUCUCAUUUACUCUCUCUAGCUCUCGGCUUUACGUAUAGGAAUUUCAGGUACAUUGGUCGAUGAAAGUGAACAUCUAUCUUAUCUUAUCUUACGCCACUUACUCUAGUUUUACUUUGUGGAAGACGUCUGAUUGAAUGAUCUCCAGUCGGUUCUAUUACCAUGUGUACCCAGGCCUGCUUCCUUCUUUUUUACUAGCCUCUCUGCUUCUGUCAGUAUAGAGGAAAGUCUUCAAUCCCUUGAGAGAAAUCAAAAAAUGGCCAAUAAAAGAUACCUAGCAUGACACAUCAGCUAUGCCAUCCGAGCCUGUCCACUUGCUAGUCAGGAAAAAUAACCGCUCCGUUCCGUGGGCUUCUUUCGCUGCUCUCUUCACGCUCGCUUUACGAGUGCAACCAAGUUCAAUAAACUGUUCAUGCUAAUUCAUAGACUAUGCUGGUUUCUAUCUAAGAGUCCUGUGAGACGCUUCCUUCUCAUACACAUCUGAAGCAACGUUUGAUUAUCCGCAUUAGAGAGUUUUGCAGGUCCUUGAGAGAACGUUAUCCAAUCAGUUAUGAUUUGACCAUGGUCUGAGGUGAAAUUGGUCUUGGUCCAUAAAACGAAAGGUGCUGGGCAAGCGCAGAGAAGUCGUCUGAAGGGGAGUUCCAUAGGAAUGUUCAUCUUCGAUCAACCUUGGUUUGGUCCCAUGCCUAAAAAAGAAAUAAGGUCCAAAACAAAAUAGGGGUGAUAUAACCCACUGCUCUCCUAAGAAUGUACUGACGUAAUCCCUACUAUGGCUCCCCGAAGGAUCCAGCUGCUAAGAGGGUCCGAGCCAUAACGGAUUGAUGUGACCGUAGCGGCGACUGGAAUCGAUCUGAAUGAGGCAGUUAUGGGACUUUUCUUAUAUAACAAUAUAUAUGGAGGAAGGAUUCAAAAAAGGUGGGGGUCAAGGUGUAUAAUACGAGCUCCACUUUCACGCAAUGAGCUAGCUUAACCCUGAUUGCUUAAGGUUUAAUACAGUCAUGUUGGAUCUGCUACUAAGAAUGGAAGAGAAAGACUGAUUGCGACAGCUCAACCGGAUGAGACAUCUCUUAUUUACAGAACUGUGCCAACGUGUGCCUACAUUGUUUGAUUUACCAGUUCCGGGUAUUGGAUUUUGGAAUAGAAAGAAUGAAACUAGUACCAGCUUAUCGCCAACCGUGCUUUCUACCAACUCCGCCGACCCCAGAUGGGAAUAUUGAUUGCGAUUUAGCCGCACCUGAGCCCGCAACUGCUGCCUCUACUCCGCCUACUUCUUGUGCCGACUUCGCUAGCCUCGCGGGGUACCGAUUUCCUCCUGCUUUGUGUGCGUGCCAUUGACUCCUUUAAUGGGUCGAAACCUACUUAGUUCUCAUUUUUAUUUUGUCCAUACAAGAAAAGAAGGAUUUGUGUUUAGCAAGACAGAGAAUUGAAUAAGUAAAAAUAAAGUAGUGUGUACCCUUUACCGAAAAGCAAAUAUGACAGAUAAGGUACGACAUAUUGCUUAUUCCUGAUUGAUCUAGUUGAUGAAAGUUGCCUUGUUGGACCGAUUGUGGAUUGGAAUAGAAGUUUCUUAUAUAUAGAUAUUCGUGUUUACUGAUUUCGCAUACUGGGAAUGGAACUUGAUGUAACCCAUUGGAAACUCUCUUUGACACUCAUUAUCUGUUAUAUACGACAGGCUAAUUAAGUCCUUAAAUUUAAGAAAGGAGUCUUUCCUUACUUCCUUACACAAAAUUGUUAUGUUGUUAUGCUGCUCGUGCAAUCAAAACUUAGAAUAGAAGAAAAAGUGUUCCCUCGGGACCCAUCCUCUUCUCCUUCGCUUGUGUGACUAUCAUGAGAAGAAUUCCAUUCCAAGAAGUCAAAUAACAAGAAAAAGAAACGAGGUCAAGAUCCGUUGUUACCAGUACCGACGAAAUGGAGAAAGUGUCCUCCGGGAACGCAAUCUACUACAUUAGUUGGUGUAGCCAAAGAAGAGGAUAUCCCCUUUUUUGACUCAUUGGUCUUUAGACCAGACCCAUACCAUAGCUACAAACACUUUUGAGUCGGAGGAGACUGGCCAGAUCGCCUUCUCGAGGCUCUCUGGGCUUAUCGGACGUCAAUCUGUAUAGCCACUGGUCCCCUUCUCCUUAGUCGUUGGCAUGGACGCCAUUCUUCCCAGUGAACUCGACGAUUCCUUCCCUGCGCGUUCUGCUCGACGACGAUAUGACUGAUAAUCAGAAGCGAGAGGCUCUCGAAACUAGUCCUACUUGAUUCGAUCGAUGGGAGAAAAAAAGGUUACGAGCGGCAGAGCACGCACAAGUCUAUCAACGUCAACUCAGCCACGCUUUGGACCGAUCCUACGAAUAAGAGGCAUUAACAAAGCAUUUAUGAGACACCAUACUUUCAAUAGGAAAAGGCCAGCUCGAAGAUCAACGGGAUCUUUCUCCAAGCUAAGUUUCUACCCCCGAGGGAACCGGCCACGAUGCGUGGGGGUAUCGGUGCUGAUAAACUCAUCUCCGCUCAUCUUACCUGGAAAUGGAAAUAAAUUCUGGUAGAUUACCUACCUCAUUUGAGAUGAAGGAAUUUCCUACUUAAGAUUCAUAUGCCUAUUUUGUUGUUGAUGUGGAGGAAUUUGUACUAGCCUACUCGAUAUGUUCCUUGCCUGGUUCGCUAUAGGAAGUGCUUUCAGCAAAUGAGGAGGGGAAUAUUCAUAGGUAUGAAUCUUCCGUCAAUGGUUAAGGUUGAAGUGAAGGAAAACCUUCUUUGAAUUUUGACGCCUAAUUAUUUAGCUCUAGUAUUGAGAAAGAAACCAUUCAUACGACCAGGUCGCAGGAAUGCUUCUUCGGCUUACAAUUCCGAGUCAAGAACCGUAACUCGAGCACUUAGCCCUAGCUCUUGCUCUUUCCUUCCUUGCAAUGGGCUGCCUGUGUGCCUACUAAUAUUUACCUCAAUGGUGCGCUAACUUUAGAAUUAGGAUUUGCCAAAUUCAUAUUAGGGGGGCUAUGCAGCAAUUCGACCACUAUUACUGCACUAGAUAUGUCAGGCUUAUCCUAAAGAAAUUAUGGCUUCGCUUCUCUUCUUCCUGGUGAUGGAUAUAGUCUCGAUGGCUUUGCCCAAGUAUGGCAUAAAAGUAAAAUAGGAUAUCCUUCAAAAGGGAAUUUCAUGUGUGAGCACCUUGCCUCUUUUAGGGAAGGCUAUUUACCAAGUGAGUCUGCGCAGCAUGCUAUGAAACAUAAGAAUCAUUUGGAAUCCCAUUUGCACCCGGAUUCAGCUUCUUUCGAACUAGCAAAUGCACUUUCAGAGCCAACAACGGAUCGGCUUGGCUCAUUCCCCAUCUGGGGAAGAAAGAGUACCUAGAUCUGCAUCUACUAAGUAUGCCCUGAAAUUCAUGUUAUGAUUCGGUCUUUCCCAAAGCUAGGGCUUCUUUUCCCAUCCCUAUCCUCCGCGUCAACCUGUACCGGACCCAGAGUCAAAACUAAAAAGAGAAUGAAGUCUCGAAAACUCUUAGUUAAUAAAUAUUCGUGUGCCUACUUUGCUUAUCCUUCUCUGCCCCAUUUUAGAUAGUUGGGUAGAGCGAGGGAUAUCGGGGAAGGAAGAAAAACCUCCACUUGUUUUACGGAUUCACAUACUCGUUGGUAUGUUCAUCAAGUUCUCGAUUACUACUUAUGGUGCCCACUGACUCCCUUUAAUGGUACGCAGUCCCUGCCAAUUUAUCAAAAGAAAAUGCUAUCCACUGAGGGCCAAGCGGAGGAAGUGCAGAAAUCGCGUAUCCGUCUUAUCCUCGCUGGAGUACAGUGGCUAUAGAAAGAAAGGAAGAGUUCGAUUGCUUGGAGAAGGUAUUCUUCUUGGUCGACGGGACCUCCCCUCUUCUUACCCAGAAAAGGAAACGAGUCACUUCUUGCGGAACAGUAGAUCCGUUUGUCUUGAUCUACCUAAGCAGGAUUGAGUACGAUGAUGCUCCCUACCUAUGUGUACCUCAUACUUUUCGGGCUAGAAAUGCCAUAUAGUUAAUGGAACUAUCCAUUUUGGUCGAUCUUGAUUAGUAGAUUGCCAACUUCUUCUUCUUCUGAUAGGAAUCUUCCCUUUAUUAGGUGGCUAUAGAAUAACGAAACAAGUAAAGUAGGUUAUUCUUUACUAAGUUGGUUCCUCGACUCGACUGGUAAUGCAGAAAUCACCUGGGCUUGCAAGCUAUGUGAUGUGACAUACCUGGCUCAGCUCAAUCCUAUGACGAAUACCUUCUGCGCCUAUGAUGAAUACCUUCCUUUCCUUAGCGGAACAAAAACUCCUAUCUCCUGCUAAAGCUGGAUGCGCACCGGCACACGGGGCAAAGAGGACUAAGGAGAAGGGAUGCCAUACUAAUAGACUGGGCAAGCAAAGCAAGGCAAGCGUUGAUGACUCUCGAUUGAAAGGUUAAGAAAAGGAUGCGCAUGGCACGUGGAGCUAGCGACUUCGCGUAUUACUUAUUGAUCGAAAGUAGGGCUUACAGCAACCAAUGAAUACAUACCGGGAAGGGCUGAGAGCUACCUACUCCUUACAGGGCUGCGUUUACCCAUUCCUUGCCUAGAAGAAAAAGAAUAACCAUCUUCCCUCUUCUCCUCCCUUCACACUCGACUAGAGGGCGGGAUUCUUUCAUCCAAUUGAUGGCACUUUACUAAGACUGGAAAAACGGGUAAGAAACCCCGUAAAAUUGAUUCAACUUGACUGUCAUAAUUAAGAAAGUGAAGAGAUAGGGGUCAUGGAUUCCAUACGCCCGCUAGACCCAUUCUUAAAGAAAUGCGUAAGGCUUUGGGCUUUCACCGUAGGUUAGGUUCCUCAUCUCUCUCAGAUGUAGUAGUUCCAGUUGCUCCGGUUGUCUCAAUUCAUUCGAUUGUGAUAAGGCAAGAAAGCUAAUAGUUGAACAGGUGGUAUAGUCACCAGUACGGUAAUGAUGCUCGGCAUGUGGAAGUUCUCGUUUCUCAACGUGCCAUUUGGUUCUAACGAAUUGAACUACAAACGGGCUUUCCUUUAUCCUCCUUGUACGCCAACCUACUGACAAAACAGGAUUUCUAGUUGCCUCCUCCGGUGAAAACGAACAGUAAACAUAUUAUUAGACCUAGGAAAACCAAAACUCGUCGAACAGAAGAACCGAGUACUAUAGAAUCUAAAACACACAUAUGCGAGCUAUUAAACAUACUGUUCCUAUUUCUAAAUAAAAACAUAUUACCGCAGCGCUAAGAAAAGGGUUUGAAAGCUCUAAGUGGUACGAUAAGCGGAAUGAAUCAAACGAAGUGCAUCAUGAGGGUUGGGGAUUUAGCAUACGCUCUACUAUCAAUUAUAGGUUCACAUAUGCCCCAAGAAAGAGGUGCAGAGGUGGAAUUCAAUAGAUUUAAGCAACUUCAGUAUGCGGGUAGCGAUGCUUUUUGGAAUCCAAGAGAACUUUGAAUCGGAGGAACGAUCAACACAACUGGCAUGGCUUUGUUGAAUCAGGAUUUGAUGACAGGAACGUUGUUGAAAUAACUUCUUUACCCCCCGUAAAAUCCUUUAUGCCUGAUUUCAGUACUAACAAUAAAUGGCUAAAAACAUCCUAUUUUUUACUGUAAAAUAUGGAAAAUCAUAUGGGAAACGAAUAACGAAUAGAAGUAGCCUAGCCUUUUCUUUCAGUCUCGGUCUCUACAUUCCCUUGUUCUUACUGUAGCUAGCACUUGUUUUUGCAGUCAAGGAGCCAGGAAGCGGGCGGGCCUUCAAUCACAUUUUAGCUUGACGUUCUUCUCCUUCUUGGGGGUCGACUUGUAGUAGCAGGCGUACAGGACGAGGCCGAACAGCGCAUCGAGGCCAUUGGCGAUCUGCAGUGCACGAACGAAGACAAGAGCCGACACGGUUAGAGAGACACUCUCAAGUUAUAUAAGAUUUGGUUGGAAUCUGAAGAUGGAGAUAUUACUGAUCGUGACGUAGAGGUUGAAUUUGAUGAGAGCGUAGGACGUCCAGCAGACGCCGUUGAGGAAGCUCACCAGCGACAGGAAGAAGGGCAUGUACUCGACGCUCUUGGUCUUGAUCACUUUACCCUGCACGCAACCCACAAUACACAUUAAUUCCUCCCUGCAAAAAUAUAUAUUCAUUAAUUCCAAGCAGAGGAUGCAACAGCUCGAGCGUUCAAAAAAAAUAUAUAUUACACAGACAUAGGUAAUUAACAAGAUUGAUUCUAUGUUCUAUGUAAAAUGUAAAUAAAUUCCACAGGUAAUAUUGGUGAACUCUACACCUGGACCACAUGACCCACGAGAAGAAACCGACAUACAGGAUCCCUUUUCUGUUUCAACGUGAUCAUCUCACAGAGUUGGCAAGGGAAGAUCAAAAAAAGCACAGACUGGUACAGGGAACACAUGUACUAUCUCCAUCCAAGAACACAUGAUUCGAAAUCUAGCACACCUGAAACUUGCAUCCCCUAGGUGAACACAUAUGUUUAUGAUGAAGCUGAACAUGAAAGAUUUCAUUAGAUGAAAUAUUCCUCCCGUUCCAGACCCGUCAAUCAACAGCCAACGAGUUUGGCGAGAACAACAGAACAAGUUUGGUUGGCUAAUCAAUUGUACAACAUAACUACCUGUAUUGAAUGCAACUGCAAGUAACCAAGGAUACCGCAUCGAUAAUCAGAGGACACGUAGGGGCUACGGUAUCUUUUUAGGUAGAAACGAACAAUAGGCCUUUUGACGGAACAUAGAGCAACAUGGUCUUGGGAUGUGCCACACGAACACCAUGACAGUUUAGCCCAAAAGGUAGCACGUUGGUUUUUACUGGUAAAAAGGGGGAAAGAAGAGAUUUGACACGAUGGUUAAAACAGGACCAUUGAUGCAUCUUUUAGAGAUGGAUUUGGUUCCAAAAUUGGCUUCCGCAUCCAUGCUACCAGAACAAAUAGCAACUAAGGUAUGCUAAUAGUGGUACAUAAUGAAUGCCUCAACUAUAACCUAAUGAGUCACUUGCCCUGAGUAAGCUGCAAGAUCCUUCACAGAUCACUAUGUCUAGAUCAUGCAAAAGAUUUGAAAGAUGAUGGCAACCCAUCAUUAAUGAGUAAUCAGAAAAGAACCUGGAGACUGGAGAAGAUGAAUAUGGCUAAUCUGUUUUUAAAUAGAAGUUCCAGAAGAAUUAAUAUCGACUUUUUUAUCUUAAACAGUAGAACCCCUGAAUCACCAAUCCAUUCUGAACUGCAAAGGCAACGUGUCACUGACAGCUGGGUCCAAAAAAUCCUUGACUGACCCAACAGUAAGUGACCAUACACGACAACUUAACCUAUGAAACCCUCAUCCACACAACACCAACAACAUCAUCGCCGCCACCAACCGAAGGGGAACGCACGCCUAUUCCCCAACAAUAUCACUAACAUCUACCAAUAUAGAUCUAAAAAGACAUCUAUGCACGUGGAGCGAGAUUGAUGGGUACGUACCAUGAUGGCGAGCGGGGAGGCGUACAUUGCUGAGCCGAAUAUGACGCAGAGGAUGCCGUAGAACACCCAGAGCAUGCAGUUGAGCAGCGUCGCUAGGUACGGGUCCGACUUGAACUCCUCAAGUCCUUGUUCUUGAUGAUCCGCCAGAACGUCGGCCUGCACAUGUACAAGCAAAAAGCAAGCGCCCCCUCAUCAGAAUCAAACCCUAAUUACCAACCACCUUCCAUAGAGAGUAGACUAGACAAGCGGAUGAGGGGGAUGGCGGCGGUGGCUUACACAGGGUAGAGGAAGAGGCCGAAGGAGAUGACAUUGCCGAUGAUGUUGCGGGCCGCGUCCGGAGAAAUCAUCUUUCUUUGCUCGCCGCGAGCGGGUGGGGACUUGGGAUUGGUUUGGAUUGGACGGCGCACGCGGCGAAAGGGAGGGAGAGAGAGAGCCAAAGCAAUUGAGAUUUGGGAGUCGGUUGAGGUCGAGGGAUUAGCUUAUAUAGAUAGACGCGGCGGGGUAGCGGUGUUUAUCCGGUCUCGUGUUAGAUCCUAUGAUUUGGUUAGUUAGCCUACGAGAACAAGUCACAAGUUUCGAGUUUUACUAUGCAUCCAGUUCGUUGCUAUCUCUAUCUUUAUCUACAUGGAUAUUAACACGCACUAUUCUUGAGAGUCAAGACACCGUUUUGCUUUAAAGAGCAAAAGAAAUCCCAGAUAAUUACUAAUGCACUGUUGAGUACACAGAUUCUUUUCCUGUUCGUACUGGAGUAUAGUAAGGAAAAACUGCUUGACCGAAUCAAGGUCAAGAUAACUAGUGUGAUUCCUACACUGGGAGAAUCGUGGAUAUGUAAGGAAUAGAGAAAUUCCACCCGCCUAAGUAAAGAACUGUUACAAAUAAAGAGGAAACUAAUAAGGAUAAGUAAGAAACAAGAAAAAAGAAACCAUAUUUAAUACCGGAAUAUUCGGUUUGAUAACCUGCAACUAAUUUCCCCUCUGGGUAAUCUUUCACAUUCGGCCAAAGAAGAAAUUCUAAAAACUAGAAAGCCUAUAGGCUGACACCAAAGAUUCCAUAAAAAACCAUAUUUUGGCUGUGCUUGAACUAUAUCAACUGUACUUGAACUGUUAGAUAAUCAUAGUCGAUAAUAACAUCACAGCUCCCACCGCUAUUGCAAAACCGUACAUGAAACCUUAGCUUCAUACGGCUCCUCUAUGAUUAGAAAAAAGGACUGUUUCGGUAUUAUCCCCCUGGUUUAUCAGUUGCAGGUGAAUCCUGUGAAACAUCUCUCUCGAGGCUAGUAACAACACUUGGAAAUGAAAAAUGAGCUUAGCGGUUGUACCAGGUCAGGACCAUAAACACCACGAGCCGGUUAAGCAACAGAAGCUGUGGGCGAAAGCACACUCGUCAUUCUCAGACCUGCGGUCGAGGUACAUGCGAACAAGUUCCCAUUCUCUAUGUUUCAUGGCCUAUCAAUGAAAGUCGGUAUCAGGCUGGCUUGCAUUGCGGGUCGUCUCCUUAUAUACCUAAAUCCUCGUUUCACUCAUCUAUAAAGGUCUACCCUUCGAAAGGUAGGUUGAGUUCCCCCGUAUGUAACCAGCCACACUCUACUCGCAGGUCAAAUAUUGGCGUAGACAACAGAGAAUGUGCUAGGUAGGAAACCGGAGGAACUCUUACUAUACGAGAAUCUUCAAUUCAAUAUGACAACCGAUCAGAAGGGAUUGGACGAUGCCAAUGCAUUGCCCUCCUUCUCAAUACCAGAACUAUCUGACCGAGCUCCAUCAACACAGAAAGCAGAAGGGACAGCAGAUACGGAUAGACUGGAUCCAGAAAGGGAUUUCAGCCAGUCCUUGCCUAUUGCUGGGCUGGUUGUUUUGUCACGGUCCGAUUAGUAGAAGAUGAGUGAGUAAGACGAGGCCCCCGAAGAGUAAUGUAGAGCUAUACUGCUCUUGUUUUUCCUUCCGCCCUGCUUAGGAGAACUUUGUCUAGAACCCACUUUAGCUAGCUUUCGAGGAUACCAUUACAGAUGAGUGAAGCGAGUAUACCUUUUCCGGACCUCCCGAGGUAGCGCGGUAGCGGAAGCCCUUUCUAGUUCAAGCAGUUCCAAUUCCUAUUCCGCUUCACCGCUUACACCACACUCUAUUGGUUCACCUUGUGGUGCCUUUCGAUCAAGGUCUACUUUGGUUGAUCCAAUUUGUUCUACAGCGCGUUAUCCGCAUCGAAGUUAGCCAGAUUCCUACCGCUUCUUGAUAUUAUGGAUUUUGCAAUCCCUGAACGCUAGUGCUUCUACAACCAACGGAUACUAUUUAACAGAAAUAAUAAGUAGAAAUGGACAAACGAGUGUGGCUACAUAAAGUGAGGAAAAAAACAUGGUGGUACCAGCAUUGCGUAUCACUCACUAUGCUUUAUGUAAUAUGGCCUACGUCGUCUCUCUUCCAGAACCUCACAAUCAUCAGUGUCUGAAGUUUCAUGAUGAAUAUUGGUUUCAAAUUUUAUUGCUUACGUGAGAAAAUAUCAAUUUGGAACUCGAAUUUGUAUUUGAGUUAUGAUGAGGAGUGAGGUAGAUUCGCAUUGUUGAAGAAAGCAAAGAAAAAGGAUGCUGCUAUGGCUUGCUUGUGGCUCUUUCUUCUAUUGGCUAGUCUCAGGCAUGAUAGUUUCAAUUUCUUUUGGAAAGCAAGUGCGGCUCAGUCAUAAGUGUUAGUAAUAGCAUGAAGUAAGUUGUCGGUAGCCGGCAUUAGAUAGAAGGAAAAGCUUCUCAAAAGCAUCCUGAAAUAUCAUAGAAUGGCGAUCGAGAUCACCUUCACGGGAAUCAUCCUUUGCAAAUUGGGGGAAGGGAACCAAUCAAGUCACCAACAAGUUCCCGAAACUUGGUUUAGUAUUAAGGUUCUUCUCUUCCAGCGUUUACUAUUCAAGUUCUUCUCUUCCAGCCCCCUGGCCCCUCUCUGAUAAGUAAAGUUUUCAAAACGAAAAGAAAAUGACAAAUCUGGUUCGAUGGCUCUUCUCCACUACUCGCUUUACUACUUUCUAUUUUUUCAUAUGUAUUAAGUUUCCCUUAAUAUAUAAUUUUAUAUUACUUUCGAUUUUUAUAUUUUUAUUCCUUUGGCGUUUUAUAUUAAUAGUAAUAGCCGUUUUCAAUCUUUUUUGUUCGUGCUUCAUCGGCUCCUCCUUUUUGAUCACUCUCCCGCCGGAGAUUCAAGACCCCCAGGCUCUAGCUCAUUUAGCAGGGCUAAACUUCUAUCUGAGUCUUUACGAGCAGGAUCCGGGAUGGGUUACGUUCAUUUAGAAUGAGCUAAAUCACAAUACCCCCUGGAAGACAUACCUGGGCGGCUUAAGCUCUUCCUAAUGGAAGAAAAGCUCUCUUCUAUGCGACAAGAUGUCAUUCAGGAAUUUGUGGCGCUUUAUCAAAGAGUAGGGCCUUAUCUACCGAUCGAGCCCUACUUGGUCGAUGAAGCGCUUCAUUCCUAUCUUUUCCAUAUUCACGCAACUGAUUCUUUCACUGUUCUCCAAGCGUCUUAUCAAGAUCUGCGGGAGAAUGAGGGAGGAUCAGUUUUCCUUGAAAAUGUUGUUUCCCACAACCGGGAUUUCCUUGAGGCGGAAAGCUCCGCAAGGAGGUGCCUGGAAGUGGAACAGAGGAUCCGGUGGGAAGAAAUCCCCAAGAGCAAGGCAAGUCUCGAAAAGGCGGAGCACGAGCAUGCUCUCGACUUGUUUAAGUCGGGGGAUCUUAGAAGGGAAUUAGAAAAAAAAGAGCGGGGUAGCUCAGUAAUUCUGAUUCUUUUCUCUUCCAGCAUUUACUAUUCUCUUUCUUCUCUUCCAGCCCCCCGGCCCCUCUUUGAUAAGGAAAGUUUUCAUUUCUAAAAAACAACAAAUGACAAAUCUGGUUCGAUGGAUCUUCUCUACUAACUACAAGGAUAUUGGGACUCUCUAUUUCAUCUUCGGUGCCAUUGCAGGAGUGAUGGGCACAUGCUUCUCCGUACUGAUUCAUAUGGAAUUAGCCCGACCCGGCAAUCAAAUUCUUGGUGGGAAUCAUCAACUUUAUAAUGUUUUAAUAACGGCUCACGCUUUUUAAUGAUCUUUUUUAUGGUUAUGCCGGCGAUGAUAGGUGGAUUUGGUAAUUGGUUUGUUCCGAUUCUGAUAGAUGCACCUGACAUGGCAUUUCCACGAUUAAAUAAUAUAUCAUUCUGGUUGUUUCCACCAAGUCUCUUGCUCCUAUUAAGCUCAGCCUUAGUAGAAGUGGGCGGCGGCACUGGGUUGACAGUCUAUCCGCCCUUAAGUGGUAUUACCAGCCAUUCUGGAGGAGUAGUUGAUUUAGCAAUUUUUAGUCUUCAUCUAUCAGGUAUUUCAUCAAUUUUAGGUUCUAUCAAUUUUAUAACAACUAUCUUCAACAUGCGUGGACUUGGAAUGACUAUGCAUAGAUUACCACUUUUUGUGUGGUCCGUUCUAGUGACAGCAUUCCUACUUUUAUUAUCACUUCCGGUACUGGCGGGGGCAAUUACAAUGUUAUUAACCGAUCGAAACUUUAAUACAACCUUUUUUGAUCCUGCGGGAGGGGGAGACCCAAUAUUAUACCAGCAUCUCUUUUGGUUCUUUGGUCAUCCAGAGGUGUAUAUUCUCAUUCUGCGUGGAUUUGGUAUUAUUAGUCAUAUCGUAUCGACCUUUUCAAGAAAACCGGUCUUCGGGUAUCUAGGCAUGGUUCAUGCCAUGAUAAGUAUAGGUGUUCUUGGAUUUCUAGUUUGGGCUCAUCAUAUGCUUACUGUGGGCUUAGACGUUGAUGCGCGUGCCUACUUCACCGCAGCUACCAUGAUCAUAGCUGUGCCCACAGGAAUCAAAAUCUUUAGUUGGACCGCAACCAUGUGGGGAGGUUCGAUACAAUACAAAACACCCAUGUUAUUUGCUGUAGGGUUCAUCUUUUUGUUCACCAUAGGAGGGCUCACUCGAAUAGUUCUAGCAAACUCUCGGCUACAAAUUGCUCUACAUGAUACCUAUUAUGUGGUUGCACAUUUCCAUUAUGUACUUUCUAUGGGAGCCGUUUUUGCUUUAUUUGCUGGAUUUUACUAUUGGGUGGGUAAAAUCUUUGGUCGGACAUAUCCUGAAACUUUAGGCCAAAUCCAUUUUUGGAUCACUUUUUUCGGGGUUAAUCUGACCUUCUUUCCCAUGCAUUUCUUAGGGCUUUCGGGUAUGCCGCGGUGUAUUCCAGAUUAUCCAGAUGCUUACGCCGGAUGGAAUGCUCUGAGCAGUUUCGGUUCUUAUAUAUCCGUAGUUGGGAUUCGUCGUUUCUUCGUAGUUGUCGCAAUCACUUCAAGCAGUGGAAAGAACAAAAAAUGUGCGGAAAGUCCUUGGGCUGUUGUACAGAAUCCAACCACACUAGAAUGGUUGGUACAAAGCCCUCCCGCCUUUCAUACUUUUGGAGAACUUCCUGCGGCAGAAGAGACAGAAAACCUCUCCUAACUAUGAAGGAAGUUUCAUAGAGAUAGGUGUGGGGACGGGGACAACAAUUGCUUUAGCUGUUUUUUCAACUAAAGCGGGGCUUCUUUCUAAGCCUAAUCCCUUCACUUUUGAAACAUAAGGAGUUUUUGUGUAGUGAUCUCUGUUCAUGGAGAUCACGAGGCCACUGAUACCCUAUGUGGAUAAGUGGGAUAGAAGAGUGGGAAAGCGGGCUUCUAUCACAUAGUUUAUCUUUCAGGGUACAUAGGACGGCCCUCUCGUCAUUACCUUUUGUGCUUACCCGUAGCUAGUUGUGCCUGAAGUCAUGGAUGAUGCUAUUCCCACUGAGAGAUGUGCUGCAAAAUGGAAGCUGUGUUAGUCCUCGGCUAAAAUCAUCUUCCUUUAUUAAAGACCAUAUAUAUCCAUAUGUAGAUAGAAGAGGGGAUAUAGUCGUUCAAAGCUAAGGUGAGUCUGUUCCAGCUAAUUCCUUGGAUUCCACUUUCCUGUCAGUCCAUGUAAAAAGGAGUCCAGCCCACAAGGAGAGGGAAUCCACAAAAAUAUUUGUUUUAGAUGAUUUCUACUAUGUUUCAAGUGAUCAAAGAAUAGUAUAGUAUCUUUAGACAGAACUGAAAUAGCAGAUGCAGAUUCGAAUGUUAAGGUUAUUAAAGCUUAAAAGAAAAAGCAGUCAUAGGUUAGGUGACUAAGAAAAGAAUGUGGAAAGGGUCAUAGAUAGGAUUGGUAUAUUAGUUUCAGCUAUAACAGAGAUUUCUCAGCAUGUUUCUAUCUGGUUGGUAUCCGCUCGUACCAUUCAUUGUGAGUUCUUUUAGGGGUUGCUCAACUCUCGGCUAUUUUCACCAUCUAGAUGAUUGCAUCUUCCCGUUCUCACAAUUUCUCAAAGGUUAUUGUAUCGAUACUAUGGAAUUUUUAGUGAAAAAACAAUAGGGUUCAAUUCGAUUCAUUUUGGAAACUCUAGCGGGGCCAUCCCCAAUUCCUCUCAGCUGUCAUAAUUGAAUAAAAGGGAUCAUAUAGCUUUCCAAUCCAGCAACAUACAUCUAUCACCUAAGCAUAACUGCCAACAUCAGUAUGCAGAAAGAAUCUGUUUAUAACGGUUUAGAGUCGGAAGCAAGGCAAGUCACAGGCCAGCUUUCCUGCUUAAAGCAAACUGUCUGGAAAAGGAAACAUUUGUGGCACCUAAAUUGGUGAAAGCAAACAGAUUGGGGAAACAUGGCAAGCUAAUAGGAAGGAAGCCGAUCAAUCGAGUACGAACCUACACCGUGGCCGUUGUUUGAAAGUCAACCGUACCGUUGUUGGAAAGAAUCGAAGCCGAGGACGCUACUACCCGGAACUCAAUACGAUUCAACCAAAGCCUUUGCUUUGCAAAAGAUACCCGUUCAGCUGUUCCUUUACCGGCAACAACUAUGGAAUAACAACCUUCGCUUUGCUUUCGAUAGUCUCUCGCAUUAGCAAAUCUCAAAAUAUAGUAGAUCCCGGGGCGUACCUAAUGGUUUCAUUGAUUUGAAUGGAUUGACCCGUUGUACCGUUGUAGGAAUCCUCAUCCGAUGUGCGAAUCCCGUGGAGGAAGGGGGGAAACAAAUCAAAUUAUUUGAUUUUGAUAGGAGCAGUGCGGUAUUGAGGGUUUCUCUAUCUAUUCACUCAUGAAGUUAAGACAAGUGAGGAUUGAUUUCAGUUAUUCAUAUAAGAAAUAAGAGGAAGACUGUCUUCUCGGGGAAGACAUGCUUUCCCGCUCUCGGCACAUCUGUGCUAGGGAUACCUUCUUGCGUUGAGAUGCCAUCAACUCUUUCCUGGGGAAUCAGGUCAAUACGUUGGCUAUGGAAAAGCAAGCUAUAGCAGAUCGUUGAGUAUAGAGAAAAAGGAAUGGAGUUUCAUUAGCUCUCUGCACACAUCCAGUAUAAUACCUUUGCGAGCCCCUAAGGAAAGGGGUGUCGUGUUCUCUUUACAAUGGGGGUGAUCCAAGUUUCCAAAAGACAAGGUUGGUUGUAUCUUUUUCUAUUGGCAAUCCCCAAUCCGUUGCUUGUUCGUUAUGAACAAAAGAAGCCGAUACCAGAAGAGGUGUUUAUCCAGCGGAGGUUCGUAUCUCUUCCAUGUGAGACCAGUGACCUCAGAUCAUCCUGGACUUAUGUGCUGGAAUAGCUUCGUUAUGAGUUGAAGCAGCCUCAGCUACUAUUCCUACUAAGGAGGAGUCGCCUUUUUCAAUUCCCUCCCUUUCGCAAUCCCAUGUUGAUGUAACGACUGUAGAGUAUUGGCAAGGCUGUAACAUUACAUGCAGGUCCUAGCCUACGUCCGUUGGUGGUUGACUACCGGGAAAGGGCAGAAUAGCAACAGUGAGGAAGCAUACCACCCAAAGCAAGACGUGAAAACCUCCUUCGUAUCCAAAAGCCCCUUUUAGUCUGUCUGGCCUUAGGCGAAAUGAUACAUAAUCGUAUCUUCUCCGCUGGAUCGAAUGAAAGUAAAUGGUGGUUGGAUCCCACUAAGGAAUUGGCACGCCCGUGGAGCUUACAAACAAGCAAGCCAGUAAAAAGUUAAGGAAUUCACAAUAUCGAAAAAGAGUUGGUUGGCUUCAGGAGUCACUCAAUUGGAUUCGAUCGGGGACUGGAAUGAAACUUCUCAGAAACGAUAGCAGAUUUGGUACCAUAGCUGAGGCGAAUGCUCGUUGACAUGAUCCAAAAUUGAAUGAAUGUUGCAAGAUAGAUUUAUUUAGAAUAGUAGUCUUAGACUGGUGCUCUCUGGAUCACCCCUACGAUGAAACAAAGCCCCUAUUAUGUCCCCCAGAUUUGCACAUUCUUCAUCCCGUUUUGCCAUUGUGCAUUAAGUAAUCCAACGUUUGUGGAGGAAGCUGCAAUGCACCACAUGUUAGCUUAUAGGCCAGAUUUGGGUCCUGCAUUCUUCACUACCUUAACUACUAUAUUUAUUGAGGUGAAGGUCUUACUUAGUAGGCAAAUUCGAGCUGUUGUUUUAAUUCAGAGACCAGACGACUUUGAUACUGCUGCUUCUAUGGCCUUGACGCUGACAUAAGCGCAUUUAUAUUAUGAGUUAUUAGGCGAGGCUGCCCCUAGAACCAUCUUAUUAUUUUUAGCGUAGCAGUUGCUUAAAAUUGGAGAAAAACAACCAAUUGUGCCUAUGUUUCAGACAAUCCCAUGCUUGCCCCGGAUCCAGAACUGUGAUUAGCAAGCACUACUGUCAGGUUCUUGACAGUUUCCUCUCGACUUUCAAAACACCUAUACUCAUACUCUCAAUCAGUGCACAUUUCUCUCAGGGUAUCCAAUCGAUGGGAUACUGGUGCUGGGGAGGGCACUAAACUUACAGGAAUGCUUCUCUUGAAUGAAUUCAUUGGUUCGAAUUCUUUUCUAUCUAAAAAUAAAGUGGAAUAUGGUAGUUUUCUGGGUGAAAUGGGCAACUGGAUCAACAAACAUGAGUGGAGCCAUAGCCUUGUAUGAGUAACGGUGCAACUGCCUAUCUUAUCCAUCUCGAGCCCUAAGCAAUGCGAUUUUCCUUUACUUUGCCACUAGCUAUAUCAUUGUCUAAAUGUUGAAGAACUAUUGUGAUUUCAUUUCGAUCGGAGGUUACACAUGGAGGCUCUGGGUCAAGAGGGGAAAGCAUGGCUGAACAUAGCAGCACUUCCCACUCACUACCACCUAUGUCGCAAGCGCCUUCCUCCGUCUAUCUGUUGUCGCUUCCGGGCACACCAUCAAUUGAUUCAUCUUUGAAUAAUAAUGGGUUUCAGUGGCGGACAAUAGCAAGCUACUGACCCUCUAGAAUAUGGGUGCAUUCAGCAUCGGAUUGACAAGUUCUGCUGAUAGCGGAUCCUGAGACGCAACAAGGGCGGGGACAAUACCUAUAGUGGGGAGGGGACCCAAGCAUCACAAUAUCACGAUGUUUUCUUUUCAUUGAUCAAACCGCUUCGCUUGCACGGAUCUAGAAAGAAUAACAAGAGCUGAACUACCGGUAUACGGAGUGGCUUCGACAUGUCUAAGCAAGGGGAUGAGUCGGCAUCUUGUAGAGGAUCUAUCAAGAGUGGCAAAAAGAGAUGCAUUAUUCAUGGCAAGUAGGCGGUUCCUUUUCCCUAUUACCUCAUUGACUUCCCGUUUGGAGCUUGCAACCAUUAUUCUAGGGAGCACGAGCACAUAUGAAGGGGAGAAGACGACUGGUGAGGGUGGAUUUCAGUCGAAAGAGCUUCUGCAGUCACCAUUGCGUAUCCGUAUCGUGUUCCUCUAUUCACAGGUUCUCAUGCCCUUACUAAAAAGCUCUAUAACAUGGUCCCUCAUAAUGAAUGUCAUUCCUUUUCGCCUAUAUAAAAAUCCUGCAGAAUCACAUUCGCUCUUGGGAAAUAGGCAUUGUCGAGCUUUAUUUUCAGACAAGUUCAUCUCUGUAGUGGCCCAAUCCAACAAAAUAACAUCUCGCAGGUGAUCCACCGAGCGAAUCCUGAGGCUGUGGUGCUCAUAGUACCCGAACCCUUGGAUCUCGCUUUGCAAUGGAACCUCUUCUGUGGACUCAGCUUAAGUAAAAGAUGGAGGUUUCGGCGAUGUCUGGUUGGACGGACCCCCUAUUCAGAAUACGCGUGCGUCCCCACGUACGCGCGUGAUAAACCAUAAACACAAAGGAGUGAUAUGACCCUCUAAGAAGAUGAGGAAUCCACUUGUUAAAAGAAGAAAGAAUCAGCUAAACCACUGGAAUAGAGAGAUUCGCCUCAUGGAAUAUAAGGAAAACAUGCACAAGAAAUAUGAGGAAUGCACUAAAAAAGAAACUAAACAGAUCCAAAAUAUAAGGAAUGACCGGCUUCGACUUCUAUUCAGAUGCACAAUCCAUUGAAAUUAUUCCACUUUACCGAUGCAUUCAUCUGGUUUUGGAUGCAUUCAUCAUGUUUUCAGUAUCCAUUCCCUAUGGUGUCCAAAGGGAUUGCCUUAUGAAUCGAAAAUUCCGAUCAAUCGAAAAACAAAUGCAGCAGGACACACUUUUGAAGAUAAAACGAGUGUGCAGCUGUGAUGCACACCGGGGGAAUUCCAAAAAGACUGGCUUCCCCUUCUAGAAAGAGAAUACGCGUGUGUCCUCACGUAUGCGCGUAAAAAAUGAAGAAAAGAAAGGUGUGGAUUGCUGCGAGAAAAUAGCUUGCACGAAAGAGCUCGAAAUUGAGUAAGUUAAGUUGACCCAAUUAACCGAUUUUAGAGUCUUGAAAAAGCAAUCGAAUUAAGUUGUAUAUAGUCUAACUCAAAUACUUGAUUCAUGAUUAGAAAUCUCAAUCUUAAAUUAGCUUAUAUAAUGUUCUUUACUUUUGAUGCAAUGACAGAUUCUCUUUCGAUAACAUAGCACAGCCAUUGGGCGAGACCACGUGAACAUGACUACUUAGUAACGUCGUUGAAACCGGCCAACCUGCCGUCGUAAGAGAGAUAUUUUAGCAUUGUUGCAACCAGUUAUCAAUCCAAUCCUUCGCAAACCAACUAAGCUAUAAAGCUUUUUUUGUUGAAGUGGCAGACACAAGAUAAAUAAUGUGAAACCGGACCUCUCUUACUACAGUGGGAGGUGUAGGCCUUAUUUGCAGCAUCAGGUGCAACAUUAUUCCCCCCUAGAGAGCCAGCGGGUCCCCACGCUGGUGCAUUCGGGAAGCUGUAUGCAUUCGGUGCCCUCAAGCGGGGAUUAAGAUUACCCAAAUCAGCAUAACAAAAUGGGAGCUCAAAGACAAACUCCAGAAUAGCUGAGUUGACAUCAAUACAGACCAUGCAAUGCUUAAAUUGCCUUUGCUCAUUGCUGCUAACCUGACUCCAACAAUUAGACAAUUGUUGCAACUCGUGUCAUCCGUGAGGGUAACUUGAGUAGUAAUUUUACUGAACUAC
rnacentral:lncRNA from 1 species